AUGUGUGUGUGUGUAUAUACAAUGAAAUACUACUCAGCCAUAAAAAGGAAUGGGUCAAUGGCAUUUGUAGCAACCUGGAUAGGACUGGAGACUAACUCAGGAAUGGAAAACCAAACACUGUACAUUCUCACUCAUAAGUGGGAGCUAAGCUAUGAUAAUUCAAAGGUGU